UCCGGAGGGUGCAAGCAUUAAUCGGAUUUAUUGGGCGUAAAGGGCGCGUAGGCGGUAUGAAAAGUCAGAUGUGAAAUCCUUGGGGCUCAACCUCAGAACAGCAUUUGAAACUUUCAUUCUAGAGGCUAGGAGGAGAAAACGGAAUUCCACAAGUAGCGGUGAAAUGCGUAGAUAUGUGGAAGAACACCGGUGGCGAAGGCGGUUUUCUAUCUUAGACCUGACGCUGAGGCGCGAAAGCAAGGGGAUAAAACAGG
rnacentral:rRNA from 1 species